UACGUAGGGGGCAAGCGUUGUCCGGAUUUACUGGGCGUAAAGAGCGUGUAGGCGGCCACGCAGGUCCGUUGUGAAAACUGGAGGCUCAACCUCCAGCUGUCGACGGAGACCGUAUGGCUAGAGUCCGGAAGAGGAGAGUGGAAUUCCUGGUGUAGCGGUGAAAUGCGCAGAUAUCAGGAGGAACACCAAUGGCGAAGGCAGCUCUCUGGGACGGUACUGACGCUGAGACGCGAAAGCGUGGGGAGCGAACAGG
rnacentral:rRNA from 1 species